rnacentral:tRNA from 1 species
AUUAGCUUAGUGGCAGAGCAUUCUAUUCGUAAUCGAAAGGUCUGUAGUUCAAUCC